GAUGAACGCUGGCGGCGUGCCUAAUACAUGCAAGUCGAGCGAACAGACGAGAGUGCUUGCACUCUCUGACGUUAGCGGCGGACGGGUGAGUAACACGUGGGUAACCUACCUAUAAGACUGGGAUAACUUCGGGAAACCGGAGCUAAUACCGGAUAAUAUUUAGCUUCGCAUGAAGCAAUAGUGAAAGACGGUUCUGCUGUCACUUAUAGAUGGACCCGCGGUGUAUUAGCUAGUUGGUGAGGUAACGGCUCACCAAGGCAACGAUACAUAGCCGACCUGAGAGGGUGAUCGGCCACACUGGGACUGAGACACGGCCCAGACUCCUACGGGAGGCAGCAGUAGGGAAUCUUCCGCAAUGGACGAAAGUCUGACGGAGCAAUGCCGCGUGAGUGAAGAAGGUUUUCGGAUCGUAAAACUCUGUUGUAAGGGAAGAACAAGUACGUUAGUAACUGAACGUACCUUGACGGUACCUUACCAGAAAGCCACGGCUAACUACAUG
rnacentral:rRNA from 1 species